rnacentral:rRNA from 1 species
AGCGAACGCUGGCGGCAGGCCUAACACAUGCAAGUCGAACGGAUCCUUCGGGAUUAGUGGCGGACGGGUGAGUAACACGUGGGAACGUGCCUUUUGGUUCGGAAUAACUCAGGGAAACCUGUGCUAAUACCGGAUGUGCCCUUCGGGGGAAAGAUUUAUCGCCAUUAGAGCGGCCCGCGUCUGAUUAGCUAGUUGGUGGGGUAAAGGCCUACCAAGGCUACGAUCAGUAGCUGGUCUGAGAGGAUGAUCAGCCACACUGGGACUGAGACACGGCCCAGACUCCUACGGGAGGCAGCAGUGGGGAAUCUUGCGCAAUGGGCGAAAGCCUGACGCAGCCAUGCCGCGUGAAUGAUGAAGGUCUUAGGAUUGUAAAAUUCUUUCACCGGGGA